rnacentral:misc_RNA from 1 species
GAUGAAGAACGUAGCGAAAUGCGAUAAGUAGUGUGAAUUGCAGAAUUCAGUGAAUCAUCGAAUCUUUGAACGCACAUUUCGCCCUUUGGUAUUCCUUAGGGCAUGCCUGUUCGAGCGUCAUUUAAACCUUCAAGCUAAGCUUGGUGUUGGGUGACUGUCCGCUUCACGGCGGACUCGCCUCAAAAUUAUUGGCGGCCGGUACAUUGGCUUCGAGCGCAGCAGAAACGCGAACUCGGGCCCGUCGUAUUGGCUCCCAGAAGCUAUCUUCACAAUUUUGACCUCGGAUCAGGUAGGGAUACCCGCUGAACUUAAGCAUAUCAAUAAGCGGAGGA